GAUGAACGCUGGCGGCGUGCCUAAUACAUGCGAGUCGAGCGAACAGACGAGGAGCUUGCUCCUCUGACGUUAGCGGCGGACGGGUGAGUAACACGUGGAUAACCUACCUAUAAGACUGGGAUAACUUCGGGAAACCGGAGCUAAUACCGGAUAAUAUAUUGAACCGCAUGGUUCAAUAGUGAAAGACGGUUUUGCUGUCACUUAUAGAUGGAUCCGCGCCGCAUUAGCUAGUUGGUAAGGUAACGGCUUACCAAGGCAACGAUGCGUAGCCGACCUGAGAGGGUGAUCGGCCACACUGGAACUGAGACACGGUCCAGACUCCUACGGGAGGCAGCAGUAGGGAAUCUUCCGCAAUGGGCGAAAGCCUGACGGAGCAACGCCGCGUGAGUGUUGAAGGUCUUCGGAUCGUAAAACUCUGUUAUUAGGGAAGAACAAAUGUGUAAGUAACUAUGCACGUCUUGACGGUACCUAAUCAGAAAGCCACGGCUAACUACGUG
rnacentral:rRNA from 1 species